rnacentral:lncRNA from 1 species
UGGUGCAGGUAUGCUGCGUGUGAAUUGACCAUAUUUAGCCAAACCCUACUUUUAAAGAAUCUUUUAAACUUUAAAAUUCCCAGCCAGCCCUUAAAACUGCAGGGAAAUGACUCCCUGGGAAUUGAGGUCAUAUCUAGCAUUCCCCUUGGCUGUGGUGUCUGAAGCAGGGCAGGCUGUUUGCUUAGUAAUCUCCUUGGCUCUGUAAGUUGUUAGGGGUAACCAAAGGCAGCUGAUUUCUUAAUUGUUUAAGGCAGGAAAUCAGCUUCUUUCAUUAGUUGCCAUAAUAAUCUUGAGAGCAAACCAGGAUUCUGCCUGAGUGAGUUUUUGAUCUUCUCCCAUUUUCUUGGUAUCGGCAGUGAGCCUUUAUCCUGAGAAAGCUGUUGUUCUCUUAAUAAACAGGACAGCGGUUUGGGAACAACAACAACAACAAUAUCAGAUUUCUUUCUGUACUGGGUUCAAGAACUUCUCCUUUCUUGCAGUCCUGUGCCUGUUUACUCAGAAAGAGUUCUGUGACUGUGUUAGUUCAUCCUUGGGACAUUUUGGACUGCAGAGAGAAGUAUUUUAGGUUGGUUGGUUGGUUGGUUUGGAAAAAACCACACCCUUCUCAUUCACACCAACAAGUGGCUGAUAAGUGACCUCUUUAAAUCCAAAUCAUGUAAAAUCUAAAUUAACUUGUUUGCAGCGGUUUGCAAGCUGAGCCACAAAUCUAGGAAAAGCAACAGUAGCAUAAGGACGGUCAGUGUGGCAUAGCGUUUAGAGACUUCAACUAAGGUGAAAAGAGUUCAAAUCUCCAGUCUGCCGUGAAAUUUGCUGGGUUAUUUUUGCUGGUGGCCUAGUGGAGGUGAAGGCUAAUGGAGUGCAGAUCUGGAACUUUUCUCCAUCGAAGGAGUGAGGAUUUAAUCCAGCGGUUCUCAAACUCAUCCCCAGUGACGCCUAUUCCACCCUAUAAAAAGCAUUAUUCGGAAUAGCAGUUUCCAUAACUCACUGAGGAAGUCAAUAACACGAUAAAAUCCAAAACAGUAACAAUUAAUUGCACAAAUACAGUGGUACCUCAGGUUACAGACGCUUCAGGUUACAGACUCCGCUAACCCAGGACUACUACCUCGGGUUAAGAACUUUGCUUCAGGAUGAGAACAGAAACUGCGCGGUGGCGGCAGCGGGAGGCCCCAUUAGCUAAAGUGGUACCUCAGGUUAAGAACAGUUUCAGGUUAAGAACGGACCUCCAAAACGAAUUAAGUUCUUAACCUGAGGUACUACUGUACUCAAAAUCGAAUUAAAACUACUUAGUUUAAUUAAUUCAACAUAAUUGAUU